rnacentral:rRNA from 1 species
AACCAACAGGGAUUGCUCUAGUAACGGCGAGUGAAGCAGCAAUAGCUCAAAUUUGAAAUCUGGCGUCUUCGACGUCCGAGUUGUAAUUUGUAGAGGAUGCUUCUGAGUAACCACCGACCUAAGUUCCUUGGAACAGGACGUCAUAGAGGGUGAGAAUCCCGUAUGCGGUCGGAAAGGUGCUCUAUACGUAGCUCCUUCGACGAGUCGAGUUGUUUGGGAAUGCAGCUCUAAAUGGGAGGUAAAUUUCUUCUAAAGCUAAAUAUUGGCCAGAGACCGAUAGCGCACAAGUAGAGUGAUCGAAAGAUGAAAAGCACUUUGGAAAGAGAGUUAAAAGCACGUGAAAUUGUUAAAGGGAGGGAUUGCAACCAGACUUGCUCGCGGUGUUCCGCCGGUCUUCUGACCGGUCUACUCGCCGCGUUGCAGGCCAGCAUCGUCUGGUGCCGCUGGAUAAGACUUGAGGAAUGUAGCUCCCUCGGGAUGUUAUAGCCU